rnacentral:rRNA from 1 species
AGCGAACGCUGGCAGCAGGCCUAACACAUGCAAGUCGAACGAACCCUUCGGGGUUAGUGGCGGACGGGUGAGUAACACGUGAGAACGUGCCUUUAGGUUCGGAAUAACUCAGGGAAACUUGUGCUAAUACCGAAUGUGCCCUUCGGGGGAAAGAUUUAUCGCCUUUAGAGCGGCCCGCGUCUGAUUAGCUAGUUGGUGAGGUAAAGGCUCACCAAGGCUACGAUCAGUAGCUGGUCUGAGAGGAUGACCAGCCACAUGGGGACUGAGACACGGCCCAAACUCCUACGGGAGGCAGCAGUGGGGAAUCUUGCGCAAUGGGAGAAAGCCUGACGCAGCCAUGCCGCGUGGAUGAUGAAGGUCUUAGGAUUGUAAAAUCCUUUCACCGGUGAAGAUAAUGACUGUAGCCGGAGAAGAAGCCCCGGCUAACUUCGUGCCAGCAGCCGCCGUAACAC